rnacentral:rRNA from 1 species
GCAUAUCAAUAAGCGGAGGAAAAGAAACCAACCGGGAUUACCUCAGUAACGGCGAGUGAAGCGGUAACAGCUCAAAUUUGAAAUCUGGCUCCUCUGGAGUCCGAGUUGUAAUUUGUAGAAGAUGCUUUGGGUUGUGGGUUCGGCCUAAGUUCCUUGGAACAGGACGUCAUAGAGGGUGAGAAUCCCGUAUGUGGCCGAGGCCCGCGCCUAUGUAAAGCUCUUUCAACGAGUCGAGUUGUUUGGGAAUGCAGCUCAAAAUGGGUGGUAAAUUUCAUCUAAAGCUAAAUAUGGGCCAGAGACCGAUAGCGCACAAGUAGAGUGAUCGAAAGAUGAAAAGCACUUUGGAAAGAGAGUUAAACAGUACGUGAAAUUGUUGAAAGGGAAGCGCUUGCACCCAGACUUGGGCGCUGCUGAUCACCUUGAGGUCUCCGCGAGUGCACUCGACAGCGCACAGGCCAGCAUCGGUUCGGGUGGCUGGAUAAAGGCCGUAGGAACGUAGCUCCUUUCGGGGAGUGUUAUAGCCUACGGUGCCAUGCAGCCCAGCCGGACCGAGGACCGCGCCUUCGGGCUAGGAUGCUGGCGUAAUGGGUGUAAGCGACCCGUCUUGAAACACGGACC